rnacentral:piRNA from 1 species
UAGAGCUUUUAGAUGUUCUGUCAAA